rnacentral:misc_RNA from 1 species
GAUGAAGAACGUAGCGAAAUGCGAUACUUGGUGUGAAUUGCAGAAUCCCGUGAACCAUCGAGUCUUUGAACGCAAGUUGCGCCCGAAGCCAUUAGGCCGAGGGCACGCCUGCCUGGGCGUCACACGUCGUUGCCCCCCCAUCUACUCCUUCGGGAUUGCGGGGGGCGGAUGAUGGCCUCCCGUGCGCCUCGUCGCGCGGUUGGCAUAAAUGCCAAGUCCUCGGCGACACACGCCACGACAAUCGGUGGUUGCGAAACCUCGGUUGCCCGUCGUGUGCGGUCGUCGCGCAUCGAGGUCUCGAAAAAAUUGCCGGGCUCCGGCUCGGCUUUCAACGCGACCCCAGGUCAGGCGGGGUUACCCGCUGAAUUUAAGCAUAUCAAUAAGCGGAGGA